UACAGAGGGUGCGAGCGUUGUCCGGAAUCACUGGGCGUAAAGGGCGCGUAGGCGGUCUCUUAAGCGUGUGGUGAAAGCCCGGGGCUCAACUCCGGGUCGGCCGUGCGAACUGGGGGACUGGAGCUUGUCAGAGGCAGGCGGAAUUCCGGGUGUAGCGGUGGAAUGCGUAGAGAUCCGGAAGAACACCGGUGGCGAAGGCGGUCUGCUGGGCAGUUGCUGACACUGAGGCGCGACAGCGUGGGGAGCAAACAGG
rnacentral:rRNA from 1 species